UAAUUUUCACUUUUCACUGAUCCAAAGGAGGUCACGUGGGAUCUUGCGAAAUUAACAGCAAUGAAAAUGGCGAAACGAAACUUGUGAAUCGUGCAUUUGCUCUUCAUGGUAGCUGCCAGAAAAUCGAAUCAAACUUACGGGACACUGGAUUACAGGUUGCUGCCACUACGUCCCAGACAACCACGACAAAAUUUAUAUGUCCAAACAAUAUCCAGAGAUUGCCGAAGCCGGCAUUCCAUGUGAAGGCCCGCAAAGAUAUAUCCAAAGAAUGUUCGGAGAUUGCCGAAGACGGCAUUUCCGGUAGCAUCCACAAAGAUAUGUCCAAAAAAUGCACCGAGAACGCCGCGGUCGGGCCUUUUAUUCCUGUGGGGGAAGGAAAUGUCGAGGGGCAAGUGGUGGGGUUCGCGCUGGCGGUAGUCACAUGACAAUUUUCGGGCCGGAAGACGAACGGCGGUUGCCUGUUCGGCGACGAAGCCAAGUCAAGACGCAGUUCAGUCAGUUGAAAGCUGGUUGAUGUGAAACGCGGGAGUGGACGCGGCUGUUGGACUGCUUUAUUACGACGCAAAGGCAGAGGUUUCGUCUUUCGUGAAAGUAAGUAUUCCAUAUUAUAUCGUAUACAUGACGCACAGAUACAGAGCCUUAGAAAGCAAAUGCAGUGUUCGUUUACAUAAAGGCGUAACCACAUUGUUCAGAGUGUCAAUUUUCAAACAAUCUUCUGCCGCUAUAGGAAUGCUAGCGAAGAAAUACUGUGUCCUUAUGAGGUAGAGUCAGUGCGGGUUUACUGCUGGGUAAUAACGUAGUAACUAACACAGUGAUAUUGCGUUCCGCAAUUCAAGGCAAUGGGUGUGAAUUGGAGACGCACUAUGAACGCAAACGCGGUUUCGUCUAGAGGUACACACGACGCUUGCUGUUGUGUUGUUUGUGCGGCUACAACAGCAAAUUAAUUCUCAAAUAUACAUCUCUUGUAGGCGUUUCUGCGUGCGGUCCUUUAUGCGAUUGAAUGCGAUAGGUGUGAAAUGGAGACGCACUAUGAACGCACACACUAUAUCUGCAUAUAGUGUGUGCCCAGCGCGCAAGCGCUGUUUCGUUUUCAGAUCUCCAGUACACACUGACGCUUGUUGUGGCUUGUGUGGCUACAACAGGAAGUUAAUUCUCAAAUAUACCUCUCUUGUAGGCGUUUCUGGGUGCGAUCCUUACUGGAACAAGUGACGGCUGGCGUUAAUAAGCGUAAGCAUUGCCGUCUGUGCUUCCCAUAUGAACUUUUUCACAAAUACCGAAAUGCUUCAUAGUUAGAUAUGCUCUUAUAUCGACUGUGCAGCCGCAUUCGUUACGGCGUCUCUUGCUGACCUCCUAUGAAGCCAGUAGUGGUGGCAUUGCAUUGUCAGUAAUAUUUCUUACUGUUUUAUUGUUAUUGUUUGUUGGUAUCAUUUUCGCUUUAAGAACUUCCUGCUCCUUUCCGUCAGGAUGUUUGAAAGCUAAGCAAUAGCACGAAUGUGCUAAAUAUUCAAAGUAGGUUGCAUUCUCUUUUACACAAUAAUAUCGAAUCUGUAUGAAACAGGUACGAAAACUGCAGAGGCAUGGUUUUUGUAGUCGGUCUGUAUAACAGUUUCGAGUACGGGCGCGAAUUAUUGCGUCACAGCGUAUGAUCGUUCUAGGCAGUUCUCCCUGCACUCAACACAGGUUGUUUUGCCUUUAGGUUUGCCUCAGUUUGACGUAAUUUGGCAGGUGCCGUAUUUCAUGUGUGAAGAAACUACAACAAAUGGUACCUGUGCAGCUUUCAGCACCUAUGUGUUUAAAAAUCGGAUAAAAACGACAACCAUGUAUACGUAUGUACAGACAUGCUUUUUUCUCUCUCUCUUUUCAUAUCUCAGAUGCGGUGAGGGAAACAGAAGGCUCCGAGAAGUAAACGCUUUCGAGGUAGAGAGUGUCAUCCAGUCAUACCUGCGGCACGCAAACUGAGUGUAAUUGAAAGUUGGACGUAGUAAAUAAAAUUUGCCAGAGCACUACACACUGACUCGAUUCGGCUGGCACUUUUUUAUUACACUCAUCAUUUGUCCUCAUGUGUGUGCAAGUCUGCGUGGCGAUCGAGAAAUGCAGCGAAAUGUACGAAACGCCUGGGACUUGUGCACCGAGCACUGUCUGGUGGUGCGGACACAUCAAAUAACGGUAGGUACAUUAAGGGCCAUUAACAUCCACGUGACACAUUCGUGGGAUAUUGCUGGGAAUGUCCAAAGGCCUACCACUGGGACAUGCAUAUGCCAACCCACGGACAUUUCUGGAAUGCAGGGGGGAUAUUGAAUAUCCAUAGAGGAAUAUCCCUGGGCCGUUUGUGGGAUGACGUUUUGUUGUCUGGACUCCAUGUGCCCGCAAUUGUCUUGCGUGUAUGAUUACACUUAUGGCGUCGCCCACCACGGCGGAAGUGUUUUGCGUACACGCGUUUCAGCAUGAAGCCUGCAGGUGGACGUAAAUUGUAGAAGGCAGCUAGUGGGGGAGAAGAUCAUGGUCAUAGGUCAUGUGACUCCUGGAGCUCCCAGUGGGCUCCCUUGUGGAGUACUUUU